GAGGUCACUUUUCAUUUCUUCAUAUCAAAGGCAGGCACUUGUUUCUAAUAAGUUAACAACUCUCCUGAGAAACGUGGGUGGCUGGUAUUUCAUUGUUUCAUAAAUAUUUUUAUACUGGUAACACCAUUCAACUUAAAACAGAUUUCAAGAGGAGAAAAAUCACGACUAGGACCGCGUUCAACAGAGUGCACUUCCUUUGAAAGCGCUCCUCUGCGAACAAAGGCUGCCACCGGCCCUCCGCACCAGCGCCGGGGACAGCUGUGCGAUGGAGCUCUUCAAAACCUCGCCGAGAGAAGAAAAAAAAAAAACCCUGCGGUUCCUACCGAAAGGAAGUUUUCCAGGGACAAUCUCCUCGGUGUUGCUGUAACUGCGACUUUGUCUUUUUUGGAUACAAUGUUUCUGCUGACUCCCGAAAAUUUUCCACUUGAAUGUGCAAUUAACCAGCAGCGGCGGCAGCAGCAGCUCUGGAGAAGGAGAAGAAGCAGCGAAAAAGGACAUUCCUUCUUUCAUCUUUCAGAGGAAAAUAAAAGAGGGGAGGGAGGCAAAACUGGGGGCAGCGCGGCGAGCGGAGCUCCGCGCCAGGCCGGGCCGCCCGGGGAUGGCUCCUGAGCGCUGCGAGCUCUGCGCCCAGCCCGGGGCUGCUCGCGGCUUUCCUGCUUCCCCGCGUUAAAAAAAAAAAAAUGUGAAAAAU